rnacentral:piRNA from 1 species
UACAUAUCUCUAUCUUUGGAUUAUUAGCCU